AGUGAACGCUGGCGGUAGGCCUAACACAUGCAAGUCGAACGGCAGCACAGUAAGAGCUUGCUCUUACGGGUGGCGAGUGGCGGACGGGUGAGGAAUACAUCGGAAUCUACUUUUUCGUGGGGGAUAACGUAGGGAAACUUACGCUAAUACCGCAUACGACCUACGGGUGAAAGCAGGGGAUCUUCGCACCUUGCGCGAUUGAAUGAGCCGAUGUCGGAUUAGCUAGUUGGCGGGGUAAAGGCCCACCAAGGCGACGAUCCGUAGCUGGCCUGAGAGGAUGAUCGGCCACACUGGAACUGAGACACGGUCCAGACUCCUACGGGAGGCAGCAGUGGGGAAUAUUGGACAAUGGGCGCAAGCCUGAUCCAGCCAUACCGCGUGGGUGAAGAAGGCCUUCGGGUUGUAAAGCCCUUUUGUUGGGAAAGAAAAGCAGCAGGUUAAUACCCCGCUGUUCUGACGGUACCCAAAGAAUAAGCACCGGCUAACUUCGUG
rnacentral:rRNA from 1 species